rnacentral:tRNA from 1 species
UGGGUCGAUGCCCGAGCGGUUAAUGGGGACGGACUGUAAAUCCGCUGGCGACGCCUACGCUGGUUCGAAUCCAGCUCGACCCAA